UCUUGAAGGCAGUGACUAUUUCAGCACACCGAUUCAGGCUGUCUUUACACGAACAGUUGCAGAUCCGGCCCUUGGCGCCAAGCUAACCGGUAAGCGCGGCGACAAUACGUUCGGUGUAUUUGCGACCGAAGAUGAAAUUACCAACCUGAUUUUCCCCGGCGCGUUCGGCUCAGACAGUGAAUCGCUCGAUAUAUCCAAUACGGCCUUCGUAGGUCGCUAUAGCAGGAGUUUCGGCGAAGCAUCCUCUGUUGGCGCGCUCAUGACUGCACGCAGCGGUGAUAGCUACCACAACGACGUCGGUGGU
rnacentral:rRNA from 1 species